rnacentral:siRNA from 1 species
UACUUAUCGUGGAGAAAUAGACC